UGGCAGCUGGAGGGGAGGUUGGAGAUUUGGUGAUAACUUCUCCGAUAUUCCAUCUACGAGGAGAAGGCCAGGCAGGGAGCAGCUGCGACUGCAAAUACCAGGCCACAGGGCAGCUUCUCGCUGGAGUGCAGAAGGCCUCUGGAGGGGCAGCUAGUGGUGUCCCCUGCUGCCUUCUGGGGCCUGCUGGGAUUGUACCUCUAAUGUCCAUCUGGUCGGUGGGGCCACGCGAUGAGUCCAGAGUUGUGAGCAGAUGUGCAUCAUCUGGGAGUGGGGCAUUUAUUUGCCGAGUUCUAGGAAGUCAGCGUGAAUCGGCUUUGCGUUCCCUGCCUCCAGACCCUAUUUUCCUGCCUCAUUUGGGAGAAGAUUCUAAUCCAGAACCCGUGGCUCUUCACGCGUACAGAACCAGCUCCACACAGAGACCCCAGAAACCUGCAGAUGGUGCAGUCUCGGGAAAGUUUUGUGAACACAUGGCGAGAAAAUAUCAGUGCCAGAGAAAUAAGUGGGUGAAAGACUCUGUGAGUUUUGGUGAUAUUAUGAUAUGGUUUUGAUUUACUGGUAUUGACUGAAAAUAAAAGAGGGCACAGAUCUUUUCUGAAAGUGAAUUUUACUUUUGUCUCCGUGGACUUGAGAAAAAGAAAGUCACUACAGAGACACUCGCAUCUGCCCAAUCCUGGGAAGCAAGAACCUAUAACACUGCGUUGGCCCUGCUUCAAAAACGAAACAAAGCAACUUCAUAAAUCCUGGGGCUUGGGCUGGUGCUUGUCAUAGGAGGAACCAUGCUGCCCCCUCUAAGAUGUGCAAGGCUCUGGGACAAUGUGCUGGGGGCUUAAUGUAACCUGAGAGGUGGGCGGGGCCAAUCACCUGCCUCAGUCUUGCAGCUGAGCCUAGGUGCAGAGGGGACCCUACCUCCCUGAGGCCAUGCUUGCCAGUAACUGGCAGAGCUGGGAUUUAACUCUCAGAGUGUCUAUCUCCAAAACAUUCUUCUUGUCUAAAUUAGGGAGAAAGAGGCAAACCAGUGUCACAUAAACACUGUGUGCCCCUCUUCACUUUCCAAAUCUUUCUUCCUAACUGUGAAUCCUUCCCAGUUUGAGACCCAACAGGCAAGCUCUCUCUGACCUUCCUCCCCGUGAGAAUCCGCUGUCAUUUCCUGUGCAGUGGACGGGGCCUGGUAACUCGCUGCUGUGGCCUCCAGGUGGUGAAGAGCAUGGGGUUUAGGGAGUCUGUAAGAGCAAGUGUUUCAACCCCAGUUCUUUCUCUACAUAGGGUGAUGGCCAAACUCUCUAAGCUCUCUGUAAAGUGGAGACCAUAGUAUCUACUUUUUUUUUGGAUUGCUGUAAGGAUUAAGUGAGAAAAUUCCGUAAACUUAGUAGCAUGAAACCUGGCACAUAGAAGGAAUCCACUAUUUAAUAGCUAUUAUAAUAGAUUAAUAAUAUUCAUGUAUUUUGCCAUUAUUUUGCCUCAACUUGACUUUUGUAUUUUAAGCCUUUCUCCUCUACCAGGAUUAAAAGACCUUCUGUAUCUGACCCUCAUGUAGCAGCAAGCAUGUGUGACUGGAAGGACCCCACUAUCACCCUUUGAAUGAGGCUGGUCCCAUGGCAAUAGUCAAAUGGCUGGUGUAGCCCAGUCACUGCCCUGGCACUACCCUGUUGUAGCAAAUGCUGGCUGAUGAACUGUUCUGGUACAUUCCCGCUGGAAUGUCAGAGUGUCAGAGUGGUGGACAGUCCAGGGUGUCUCCCCUCCUUCAGCUGCCUCUCUGUGCCUUGUAAGAUGAAGACACCAGAAGCCUGCCUACCUUGGCUGCAGGAAACCUAGUUCCAGAAAAGAGUUUUUGAACCAAGUGCCCUUCUCUUCCUUGAAUGAAUCCUCUUUGUCUAACCUUUCUGGUAAGAUAUUAAAUGCUGGUUUUGUGCUUG
rnacentral:lncRNA from 10 species